rnacentral:tRNA from 1 species
GUCCCUGUGCGCAAUGGAUAGCGAGUUGAACUUCUAAUUCAAAGGUCAUGGGUUCGUAUCCCACUUGGGAUG